CAUCACUGUUCCUUCAGUUCUCACUCAUUCACAGUAAAGAUGACAGCACACGCUCUCAUUAUCUGCUCUCUACUGCUUUUCAUUGCUGAGUGUAAUGGACAGAUCACGGUCACUCAGAGUCCCUCAAUAACAGCUCAACCAGGACAGCAAGUUAAAAUAAACUGUAAAACCAGCAGUGGAGUGUAUAAUGGUAAUCGUUUAGCCUGGUACUUACAGAAACCUGGAGAAGCUCCUAAACUCCUCAUAUAUUAUACAAGCACCCUCCAGACUGGAACUCCAUCUAGAUUCAGUGGCAGUGGAUCUAAUAGUGAUUUCACUCUGACCAUCAGUGGAGUCCAGACUGAAGAUGCAGGACAUUAUUACUGUCAGAGUUUUCACUAUCCUGGAAGCAUUCAUGUGUGGACUUUCGGCAGCGGCACCAGACUGGAUGUUGGCAGCAUCACUCGUCCUAAAGUGAGCGUCCUGCCGCCCUCCAGUGAAGAGAUUUCCACAAAGAACACAGCAACACUGAUGUGUGUGGCCAACAAGGGCUUCCCCUCAGACUGGAGCCUGAGCUGGAAGGUGGACGGGAGCAGCAGGUCUGAGAAGAGCAGUGCUGGGGUCCUGGAGAAGGGCGGUCUGUACAGCUGGAGCAGCAGUCUGACUCUCUCUCAGGACGAGUGGAUGAAGGCGGUCACAGUGAGCUGUGAGGCCAAACAGAAAGAGCAGCUGUCAGUCACUGGAGAAGUGAGGAGAGAUCAGUGUUCUGAGUAGAUCCUCUGGAUUCUCUUCUGCUCUUCUCACUCAUGUCUCACAUGGAGACUAACAGUGACUUCUAUUCACACAAGUAUAUGUGUGCUUUUGUCUUUCAGAUUUCUCUUGUCAAAAUUCAAUAAACUAAUAAAA